rnacentral:lncRNA from 1 species
CACCUUUCUCCUUUCAUCUGUUGCAGCUAAAUCAAGCUCAGGCUGGGAGUGGAGCUGGAAACAGUGCAAGGAGCAUGUUGGAGUUGCUGUGGUCUCAGAAACUGAGGUGGAAGGUGAAGGGACUGAUAACUGCAGUGCAUGGGACUUCCCUGGGGAGCCUCUCUGGAUGCCUGGUCCUGUACAAUAUUGCCUGUGUUCGAGACCUUGGCACCACAUGGUGACAUCUUGAAGUAUUUCUUCUGUAAGUCUCUGCCUUCUGACAGGAGUGGUAUGGAGUUGGGAGGGAUGAGGGAGGAUCCGUGACACUGAUGAGUUCUCACG